AGAGUUUGAUCAUGGCUCAGAGCGAACGCUGGCGGCAGGCCUAACACAUGCAAGUCGAGCGCCCCGCAAGGGGAGCGGCAGACGGGAGAGUAACACGUGGGAACGUACCCUUCAGUUCGGAACAACCAAGGGAAACUUUGGCUAAUACCGAAUACGUCCGUAAGGAGAAAGAUUUAUCGCUGAAGGAUCGGCCCGCGUCUGAUUAGCUAGUUGGUGGGGUAACGGCUCACCAAGGCGACGAUCAGUAGCUGGUCUGAGAGGAUGAUCAGCCUCACUGGGACUGAGACACGGCCCAGACUCCUACGGGAGGCAGCAGUGGGGAAUAUUGGACAAUGGGCGCAAGCCUGAUCCAGCCAUGCCGCGUGGAUGAUGAAGGCCCUAGGGUUGUAAAGUCCUUUCGGCGGGGAAGAUAAUGACGGUACCCGCAGAAGAAGCCCCGGCUAACUUCGUGCCAGCAGCCGCGGUAAUACGAAGGGGGCUAGCGUUGCUCGGAAUCACUGGGCGUAAAGCGCACGUAGGCGGACUCUUAAGUCGGUGGUGAAAUCCUGGAGCUCAACUCCAGAACUGCCUUCGAUACUGAGAGUCUCGAGUCCGAGAGAGGUGAGUGGAACUGCGAGUGUAGAGGUGAAAUUCGUAGAUAUUCGCAAGAACACCAGUGGCGAAGGCGGCUCACUGGCUCGGUACUGACGCUGAGGUGCGAAAGCAUGGGGAGCAAACAGGAUUAGAUACCCCAGUAGUCC
rnacentral:rRNA from 1 species